rnacentral:rRNA from 1 species
CGCGUAGGCGGCCUAUCAAGUCAGGCGUGAAAGCCCCGGGCUCAACCUGGGAAUUGCGCUUGGGACUGACAGGCUGGAGAUCGGGAGAGGAGCGUGGAAUUCCCAGUGUAGAGGUGAAAUUCGUAGAUAUUGGGAAGAACACCGGUGGCGAAGGCGGCGCUCUGGACCGACACUGACGCUGAGGCGCGAAAGCGUGGGGAGCAAACAGGAUUAGAUACCCUGGUAGUCCACGCUGUAAACGAUGUGUGCUAGACGUUGGGGAGCCUAGCUCCUCGGUGUCGCCGCUAACGCUGUAAGCACACCGCCUGGGGAGUACGGCCGCAAGGUUAAA